ensembl:lncRNA
CACAGCUCAACAACACUAAUAACCCACCACAGCUCAACAACACCUCAACAACACUAAUAACAGCUCAACAACACUAAUAACACACCACAGCUCAACAACACUAAUAACCCACCACAGCUCAACAACACACCACACCUCAACAACACUAAUAACCCACCACAGCUCAACAACACUAAUAACACCUCAACAGCACUAAUAACACCUCAACAACACUAAUGACCCACCACAGCUCAACAACACUAAUAACCCACCAUAGCUCAACAACACUAAUAACAGCUCAACGCCACUAAUAACACACCACAGCUCAACAACGCUAAUAACAGCUCAAUAACACUAAUAACCCACCACCGCUCAACAAUGCUAAUAACAGCUCAACAACACACCACAGCUCAACAACGCUAAUAACCCGCCACAGCUCAACAACACUAAUAACCCGCCACAGCUCAAUAACACUAAUAACCCGCCACAGCUCAACAAUACUAAUAACCCGCCACAGCUCAACAACACUAAUAACCCACCACAGCUCAACAAUACUAAUAACCCGCCACAGCUCAACAAUACUAAUAACCCGCCACAGCUCAACAACGCUAGUAAGCCACCACAGCUCAACAAUACUAAUAACAGCCCAACAACACUAGUAAGCCACCACAGCUCAACAAUACUAAUAACAGCUCAACAACACUAGUAAGCCACCACAGCUCAACAAUACUUAUAGCCCACCACAGCUCAACAACACUAAUAGCAGCUCAAAAACACUAAUGACAGCUCAACAACACUAAUAACCCACCAUAGCUCAACAACACUAGUAACAGCUCAACGCCACCAAUAACACACCACAGCUCAACAACGCUAAUAACAGCUCAAUAACACUAAUAACCCACCACCGCUCAACAACGCUAAUAACAGCUCAACAACACACCACAGCUCAACAACGCUAAUAACCCGCCACAGCUCAACAACGCUAAUAACAGCUCAACAACACACCACAGCUCAACAACGCUAAUAACCCGCCACAGCUCAACAACACUAUAACCCGCCACAGUUCAACAACACUAAUAACCCGCCACAGCUCAACAAUACUAAUAACCCGCCACAGCUCAACAAUACUAAUAACCCGCCACAGCUCAACAAUACUAAUAACCCGCCACAGCUCAACAAUACUAAUAACCCGCCACAGCUCAACAACGCUAGUAAGCCACCACAGCUCAACAAUACUAAUAACAGCCCAACAACACUAGUAAGCCACCACAGCUCAACAAUACUAAUAACAGCUCAACAACACUAGUAAGCCACCACAGCUCAACAAUACUUAUAGCCCACCACAGCUCAACAACACUAAUAACAAGGUGAAGUUUCUCCUAGACACAGACCGAUGCUGUUGAGACUGUUAUUCCACCUCGCUCCAGGGUGAAGUUUCUCCUAGACACAGACCGAUGCUGUUGAGACUGUUAUUCCACCUCGCUCCAGGGUGAAGUUUCUCCUAGACACAGACCGAUGCUGUGAGACUGUUAUUCCACCUCGCUCCAGGGUGAAGUUUCUCCUAGACACAGACCGAUCCUGUUGAGACUGUUAUUCCACCUCGCUCCAGGGUGAAGUUUCUCCUAGACAAAGACCUAUGAACAUUUACUGACGAUUCCGUGUUAGACUGAACUCAACCAAUAAGCUCAACAUGCAAGUAGGCCCCCCCCCAAUGUUAUACUCAAAGCACUUUAACAUACAAGCAAGCAGGUUUCCCUUAGGUACAGAUCUAGGAUCAUCUUUGCCUGCCCAAUUCCUAACAAAUAACCCUUAGUGGGGAAAAUAUAACAUUGACCCAAGAUCAGCGUCUAGGGGGCAACUUCGCCCUACUCCCUCUAGCUCCAAGCAACUUCUACUUACCUCUUAAGGAAGAGACAUGGCAAACACGCAAGUAGACUCACGAAUGCUAUACUCGAGGAACGAGCCAGUUCAACCCUUACCCUGAGGGACUGCAAUUCUAGGCCACAUCCAAAGUUUGCAAACAAGGUGGACACGCUUCCAACUGUUCAUAUGGUAGAGUCAUUUGUACGGUGAGUCGGUGAGGCCUCAAAAGAAGCUCGGUCAGCGUUAAACAGAGAAACACCGUAAAACAAACCCUGCAACCACACACACACACACACUCUUCCUACAGUAACCCUGCAACCACACACACACACACUCACUCUUCCUACAGUAACACUGCAAUCACACACACACACUCUUCCUACAGUAACCCUGCAACCACACACACACACAAACACACACUCUUCCAACAGUAUGGUUAGAGCUAUAGUUGUUUCAUGGAUUUAACACCCCUAUUAAAAACCUUCUCACAAUACUUAAUUAGUUAGAUUUCGUUUCCCUCGCUGCCGUGUCCAGAGUGCUGAGGCGGCAUAAAAAGCAACCAAUUAAAGACCAGAAAAAAAAUAGACUGAUUUAAACAGGUUCGAUGUGUAAAACGCAGGCAUUGUCUGCAUUGUCCCACCCCAGUAGUCAAACGCCUGCUGUGUACUGCUGAGACAUAAUAAACAGAGGGGGUCUCUCUCUCUCUUCAGUUCCAAAGGGCACCCUAUUCUCUGCUUAGUGUACUACAUCUGACCAGAGCCCUAUGGGCCAGCCCUGUCAGUCCUAGUCACAAGUACUGCACUAUAUAGGGAAUAGGGUUCGGUUUGAGACGUAGACCAGGGCUGUAAUCUAGGGGAAACGGAAGCUGGAUCAGGGGGGUGACGGAGGGGGUAAAGGAAGCUGGAUCGGGGUGGAUGGACUGAUGGAGGGGGUACUGGAGGAACAGGUCAGAGCGGGGUUGAGGCUAGAACUGAGGUUGUUGUGUGACGAUGUCAUUCAAUAAUAUGCCCAUUCAAGGAGUUCAGUCACACACUCAUAAUUACACACAGUCUUAUACACACACACACACACACUUGAGUGGUUAAACAGGCUCCCGCCAUUCCGCCCACCCACUGAACUCUACAACCCUGAAGAGUAUGACACUGUGGCAUCACGGCGUUGUGAUGUCACACAAGACUUGAAACUGUCAGCCAAUUGUUAAACAGGCUCCCGCCAUUCCACCCACUCACAGUGUCCGGGUGAUGUCAUGGCAUUGUGAUGUCACACAAGACAGCCAAUCGUUAAAAAGGCUCCCGCCAUUCCACCCACUCACAGUGUCCGGGCGAGGUCAUGGCAUUGUGAUGUCACAGAACAGAACCCCUCCACCCACUGAGAGAUGAAUUUCAGUCACUGACCAAGUUCAGGUGUUUUUUGUGUGUUCUUGCCUGACUUGUAUAUUUUAUUAUUUCUCUUUGUCAACAAAAAAAAAAAACAUAAAUUUCACCCACUUGUGACAUCACAGAGCUUUGAUAUGGAAACCUGUCUCUCAUCUCAACUACUCUCUGAUAUAAACCACAACUCCCCAUAUUGAAACUUUGAUAGAAGUUAUGUUUGACUGGCUGUGAAUGUAGUUGAAUGUAAUCAGUGUUGUUCUUUUAAAUGUUCACAAAAAUGUUCAUGUUCUGUUGAGGUCCUCUGUUGUGUUAGUUGCCACUUAACCCUCAUUUGCUCCAUUGGGCGCCGUACUACUAUGGCUGACCCUGUAAAGCAACACAUUUCACUGAACCUAUCCAGUGUACUGUAUUUGAUAAUACUUUAACUGUACAGAUCAAAAUAUAUUCAAAUAAAACAAGUUCCUG